rnacentral:rRNA from 1 species
UUUGAUCAUGGCUCAGGAUGAACGCUGGCGGCGUGCUUAACACAUGCAAGUCGAACGGAGCUUAGAAGGAAGCUUGCUUCAUUAAGCUUAGUGGCGGACGGGUGAGUAACGCGUGAGCAACCUGCCCUCGAGUGGGGAAUAACAUCGAGAAAUCGGUGCUAAUACCGCAUAAUGUCGAGAGACCGCAUGAUCUUUCGACCAAAGGAUUUAUUCGCUUGAGGAUGGGCUCGCGUCCGAUUAGUUAGUUGGUGAGGUAACGGCCCACCAAGGCUUCGAUCGGUAGCCGAACUGAGAGGUUGAUCGGCCACAUUGGGACUGAGACACGGCCCAGACUCCUACGGGAGGCAGCAGUGGGGAAUAUUGGGCAAUGGGCGAAAGCCCUGACCCAGCAACGCCGCGUGAAGGAUGAAGGUCUUCGGAUUGUAAACUUCUUGAUUGGGGAAGAAUAAAAUGACCUACCCAAAGAACAAGCCACGGCUAACUACGUGCCAGCCGCGGC